UUUCCCCCGUUUAGGACCUUCUGGGAGGUUCGGUAGCAGGGCACAGGUCGCCCAGGUCUUAUCUGCCUGUUUUUCUCCUCUCCCAAGGAGACUCAAAGGACAGCUGAAGAAUCCCAAAGAUUGUGAUAUUCCAAGAUUAAAAGCAGCAGCGCAGGCGCCUCUGGAAGCGAAUGGGCUCUCUGUGCCAGCCACCGCACAGCUCCAAGUGUGUUGAGCAGGUUUCCCAAAAUGCUCCAUCAUGGAGGAGGAUGGGAAGGAAAACCYCUAUGAUGAGAGGGACGCACUGAAUGGACACUGAGGA